UAGGGAAUCUUCCACAAUGGGCGCAAGCCUGAUGGAGCAACACCGCGUGAGUGAAGAAGGGUUUCGGCUCGUAAAGCUCUGUUGUUAAAGAAGAACACGUAUGAGAGUAACUGUUCAUACGUUGACGGUAUUUAACCAGAAAGUCACGGCUAACUACGUGGCAG
rnacentral:rRNA from 1 species